GCCUGGCUAUAAAUCCUUUUCUUGUUUCAUUCUUCACUGCUUUCUCAGUCUCCCCAAACCCUAAUUUUUCAUUCUUCACUUUCUCAGCCUCCCCUCACAUAGAAACCCUAAUACACUUCUCUCUCACUUUCUUUCUUGUCCUCUCUGCCGCUUCCAUAACCAUUCGUUGUUUCACUUUCAUCUUCCUCUAUCAUCUAUCAUCGUUGCUUCACCAUCUACUCAUCUUCAUCUCAGAUUUGUUUUCAUUGAGUAGAUUUGAUGCUUCUAAAGAUCUGGACAAGGAAAUGAACUAUUUGUUGGUGUUGAAUCUCGGUUUUUGAUCUGGAUAGCAAAAUAAACUAUAAUACAAAGCGGAGAUUGAAGUGAUGAGAGCUAACGAGUCCAACACUAUGUUCAUCAAUUUCGAGCAUGUUAUCAGAUCCAACGAUCUUCUUUAGAUGAAUAUUUGAGGUUUGAACCUUAUCUGUCAAGAGGAUCUUGUUGUGAUAUGAUUAAUACUAUCAGAGGAAACGAUAAAGAAGGUUUCUCAAAGAAAUUUCCAAAUACAAGGCAUAAGCCCUUCAAGGUAUACAAAUAUUGUUCUAUGAGUUGAUUUCUCUUCGGAUCUCUUGAACAAAUAUAACGUUUCAAUUUGGUUGCUUUUAGGCCCUCCAGGUUCUGGAAAAAUCACACUCUAUGGUAUUGGCUUGGCUGAAAAACUUGAUCUAAAUUAGAACAAAUAAGAGAAUACACACACUUCUUAUAUCAUCUAUUUUUUCAUGUUUUAGUUCUAGCUUGAUAUUAAUCAUAAAAUAAAUUGAAAAGAUGCAUAAGUAUUCUAGCAGAUUUAUCCAGAAAAGAAAAACAUGCAAAUAUCAGUCUGAUCUAAAUUUAAACACAUGAAGGUAAUAUAGAGGUUUCUUUAUACUUUGAGGGUCAUCUAUUUUUUUCUCAUACAAAUAGAAAAGAUUGAUAAUAAAAUGGUUGUCCUUUUGAUAAUACAAUGCAGACUGUUGCAGCUGAAGGGCAGAAAACAAAUUUGAUAACAAACUAUUUUAAGGUCUUAAUGUGAUUCUCCUUAUUUUUCUUUAAUAUUUAUUGAUAAUUUCUUUGAUGUUACAGGAUGUGAAAUAAUUCAAAGAUUCGAGAGAUCGGUGGAUUCACACUUAUUUAGAUAAUUUGUAAUUUGUAUUGAUUGUGGUUGAAUUAUAUCUUAUUAAAUGUGAUUUAUGUUAUUUGAAAAUUAAGUUAAGGAUUUAUUUUAUUUUUGAAUU